rnacentral:antisense_RNA from 4 species
CUUUAUGGCAGCUGUGUGCGGGAGACUUUCGAGUCUGCCGGUUCGCUUUCAUUCCCGGUUCGCCAACCCGAGCACAGCUGCCACCCUU